rnacentral:rRNA from 1 species
UACGUAGGGUCCGAGCGUUGUCCGGAAUUAUUGGGCGUAAAGGGCUCGUAGGCGGUCUGUUGCGUCGGGAGUGAAAACUUACAGCUUAACUGUGAGCGUGCUUUCGAUACGGGCAGACUUGAGGCAUUCAGGGGAGAACGGAAUCCUGGUGUAGCGGUGAAAUGCGCAGAUAUCAGGAGGAACACCGGUGGCGAAGGCGGAUCUCUGGGCCAUUACUGACGCUGGAGGAGCGAAAGCGUGGGGAGCAAACAGG